rnacentral:rRNA from 2 species
UUUCGACCUGAGGUCAGGCAAGAACACCCG